rnacentral:rRNA from 1 species
UGAGGUGAUGCGUGCACUACGCAAAGGCCAGGCCUCAGCAUUUUAUUAUGGUGAUCCCCUGGGCGAAAUGCGCCUGGUAAGCAGAGUUUUUGAAAUGUAAGGCCUUUGAAUAAGACAAAAGGCUGCCUCAUCGCUAACUUUGCAACAGUGCCUAAUAAACUCUGCAAGUUAUCCACAGAGCAACACUCAAUUUUAUUGAUGAUAUUCUUAUUAUACCAGACAUUUUUCAUACACUCCCUUGUACGGAUAGUUUUCCGACAACUUCAUGAUUACAUAUCUUGCGGUUUUGAUUAUUUUUGCUGCAAGAAAUACAUACUUCAAACGAAAGGUCUUUAUUUGCUGUCUGUAUUCUGAAGAGUCCAAGGAAUCAAACUUGAACAACAAAAAUAGGUUAUAUGAAAGCAUCAUCAUUUGAAACACGGCUUCAUUCGCCCAAAAUGACUUUAGCAAGAGAUGACCCACCGCCAUGUCGUAUUUGGCUUCUUUGAUAUAGUUUUCAGCAUUACCACGCUUUUCAUAGUAUAUAACUACUUUUUCAGAAAGCAAGGUAGUAUUUGUUACAAAGAAAAAGUAGUCGUAUUCGGAACCUUCUAAAAGUGAUAAUUGUGCUCUUUCUUUUUCUGGUUUCAGUACGCGAGAUACGACAAAUCUUCUGUCUUUUUCCCAUUUAACUAAUUUUGUAUACAGUUCUGUAGUUUCUCUACCUUCUUCUCCUUUAACGAAUACAAUUGAUGAAUUCGUUGCUUGUGAGGUGAGUGUAGAAUAACUUUUGGCUUUAAUUAAAUAUUUGCAUCCAAGAGAUUCUAUCGUUUCGAUAAUUUUUUCAUCAAAGUAGCCACUAUCCAUUCGAAAUAAAAUUUCUAAAUCGUCUGAUUUGAUGUUAGCAACAAUUUCUUUGAUCAUUUCCGCAGCACCGUUUGCAGUGUAAGUAUUGCCACUUCUUACAAAUCCGGUAACAUAUGCUUUUAAUUCGUCGCAAAAUGCAAAUUGGAUAUUGUAGCAUCGGUUUCCCAGUUUCUUAGGAUUAUAUCCUUUUGACGCACCUUCUUGAUGACCUUCUACGUUAAUUACACUACUAUCAAUAUCAAUCGUAAUGGAUGUCAAUUUACUUUUAGUGAGCAGUUUUUUAAAGACUUUAAAAUUAAUGUCUCUAAACAUUUGGGUUGUCUUGAAGUUGAAGUUUCCUAGAAACCGUGACACUGUUUCAGGUUCUUUUACGGAAAUAUCAAACUCGUUGACGAGGGGAUCAUUUUGAAGUAGCUUUAGACGUUCUAACUUAUCAAUGCCAAUGAAGUGACCGCAGAGCAUGGUCUUUAUAUGAUUCAUCUUGAUUUUAUUUGUUGAGUCAUUAUCAAAUACGAGGUCAUUUUCAAUAAAAUCAAAAAUCCCAUUGCUUUUUGCAUUCUCAAGGAGCAGAAAAAGACCUGCAUUUGAUGUUAGAUUCUUAGCUUUGAAAUCAAUUUUAUUAAUCAUAAUUAGAACCCCUUUUUACUACUUUUCUUACUAUUAUUUUACCAUAUAUCGAGUCAUAAAAGCUGAUAAUUUAACAUAUUUUUGAGCACUUUUCUUUCACCCAAUGGGUGAAAGCUGAAUUUCGAAGGAAUGCAUAUUUAUCAAGGCUUUGAUUAUGCUUUUUGAAGUACUGACGUAGAAUCUAGGUACAUAGGUUAACGAGGCGAACCGGGGGAACUGAAACAUCUAAGUACCCCGAGGAAAAGAAAUCAACCGAGAUUCCCCCAGUAGCGGCGAGCGAACGGGGAGCAGCCCAGAGUCUGAAUCAGCUUGUGUGUUAGUGGAACGGUCUGGAAAGUCCGACGGUACAGGGUGAUAGUCCCGUACACCAAAAUGCACAGGCUGUGAACUCGAAGAGUAGGGCGGGACACGUGGUAUCCUGUCUGAAUAUGGGGGGACCAUCCUCCAAGGCUAAAUACUCCUGACUGACCGAUAGUGAACCAGUACCGUGAGGGAAAGGCGAAAAGAACCCCGGCGAGGGGAGUGAAAAAGAACCUGAAACCGUGUACGUACAAGCAGUGGGAGCACCUUCGGGUGUGACUGCGUACCUUUUGUAUAAUGGGUCAGCGACUUAUAUUCUGUAGCAAGGUUAACCGUAUAGGGGAGCCGCAGGGAAACCGAGUCUUAACUGGGCGUUAAGUUGCAGGGUAUAGACCCGAAACCCGGUGAUCUAGCCAUGGGCAGGUUGAAGGUUGGGUAACACUAACUGGAGGACCGAACCGACUAAUGUUGAAAAAUUAGCGGAUGACUUGUGGCUGGGGGUGAAAGGCCAAUCAAACCGGGAGAUAGCUGGUUCUCCCCGAAAGCUAUUUAGGUAGCGCCUCGUGAAUUCAUCUUCGGGGGUAGAGCACUGUUUCGGCUAGGGGGUCAUCCCGACUUACCAACCCGAUGCAAACUACGAAUACCGAAGAAUGUUAUCACGGGAGACACACGGCGGGUGCUAACGUCCGUCGUGAAGAGGGAAACAACCCAGACCGCCAGCUAAGGUCCCAAAGUCAUGGUUAAGUGGGAAACGAUGUGGGAAGGCACAGACAGCCAGGAUGUUGGCUUAGAAGCAGCCAUCAUUUAAAGAAAGCGUAAUAGCUCACUGGUCGAGUCGGCCUGCGCGGAAGAUGUAACGGGGCUAAACCAUGCACCGAAGCUGCGGCAGCGACACUAUGUGUUGUUGGGUAGGGGAGCGUUCUGUAAGCCUGCGAAGGUGACCUGUGAGGGUUGCUGGAGGUAUCAGAAGUGCGAAUGCUGACAUAAGUAACGAUAAAGCGGGUGAAAAGCCCGCUCGCCGGAAGACCAAGGGUUCCUGUCCAACGUUAAUCGGGGCAGGGUGAGUCGACCCCUAAGGCGAGGCCGAAAGGCGUAGUCGAUGGGAAACAGGUUAAUAUUCCUGUACUUGGUGUUACUGCGAAGGGGGGACGGAGAAGGCUAUGUUAGCCGGGCGACGGUUGUCCCGGUUUAAGCAUGUAGGCUGGUUAUCCAGGCAAAUCCGGAUAAUCAAGGCUGAGGUGUGAUGACGAGGCACUACGGUGCUGAAGUAACAAAUGCCCUGCUUCCAGGAAAAGCCUCUAAGCAUCAGGUAACAUCAAAUCGUACCCCAAACCGACACAGGUGGUCAGGUAGAGAAUACCAAGGCGCUUGAGAGAACUCGGGUGAAGGAACUAGGCAAAAUGGUGCCGUAACUUCGGGAGAAGGCACGCUGGUGUGUAGGUGAAGUCCCUGCGGAUGGAGCUGAGACCAGUCGAAGAUACCAGCUGGCUGCAACUGUUUAUUAAAAACACAGCACUGUGCAAACACGAAAGUGGACGUAUACGGUGUGACGCCUGCCCGGUGCCGGAAGGUUAAUUGAUGGGGUUAUCCGUAAGGAGAAGCUCUUGAUCGAAGCCCCGGUAAACGGCGGCCGUAACUAUAACGGUCCUAAGGUAGCGAAAUUCCUUGUCGGGUAAGUUCCGACCUGCACGAAUGGCGUAAUGAUGGCCAGGCUGUCUCCACCCGAGACUCAGUGAAAUUGAACUCGCUGUGAAGAUGCAGUGUACCCGCGGCAAGACGGAAAGACCCCGUGAACCUUUACUAUAGCUUGACACUGAACAUUGAGCCUUGAUGUGUAGGAUAGGUGGGAGGCUUUGAAGCGUGGACGCCAGUCUGCGUGGAGCCAACCUUGAAAUACCACCCUUUAAUGUUUGAUGUUCUAACGUUGGCCCCUUACCGGGGUUGCGGACAGUGUCUGGUGGGUAGUUUGACUGGGGCGGUCUCCUCCCAAAGCGUAACGGAGGAGCACGAAGGUUAGCUAAUCCUGGUCGGACAUCAGGAGGUUAGUGCAAUGGCAUAAGCUAGCUUGACUGCGAGCGUGACGGCGCGAGCAGGUGCGAAAGCAGGUCAUAGUGAUCCGGUGGUUCUGAAUGGAAGGGCCAUCGCUCAACGGAUAAAAGGUACUCCGGGGAUAACAGGCUGAUACCGCCCAAGAGUUCAUAUCGACGGCGGUGUUUGGCACCUCGAUGUCGGCUCAUCACAUCCUGGGGCUGAAGUAGGUCCCAAGGGUAUGGCUGUUCGCCAUUUAAAGUGGUACGCGAGCUGGGUUUAGAACGUCGUGAGACAGUUCGGUCCCUAUCUGCCGUGGGCGCUGGAGAAUUGAGGGGGGCUGCUCCUAGUACGAGAGGACCGGAGUGGACGCAUCACUGGUGUUCGGGUUGUCAUGCCAAUGGCACUGCCCGGUAGCUAAAUGCGGAAGAGAUAAGUGCUGAAAGCAUCUAAGCACGAAACUUGCCCCGAGAUGAGUUCUCCCUGAGACUUUAAGUCUCCUGAAGGAACGUUGAAGACGACGACGUUGAUAGGCCGGGUGUGUAAGCGCAGCGAUGCGUUGAGCUAACCGGUACUAAUGAACCGUGAGGCUUAACCU